ACGUAGGGGGCGAGCGUUGUCCGGAAUUACUGGGCGUAAAGCGCACGUAGGCGGGCUGUUAAGUCGGCCGUGAAAGGCACUGGCUCAACCGGUGUUUGUCGGUCGAUACUGGCGGUCUGGAGUAUGGGAGAGGGGACUGGAAUUCCCGGUGGAGCGGUGACAUGCGUAGUGAUCGGGAGGAGGACCAGUGGCGGGGGGGGGUACCUGGACCAUUUCCGCCGCUGGGGUGCGAAAGCGGGGGGAGGGAGGGG
rnacentral:rRNA from 1 species